rnacentral:rRNA from 1 species
ACGGUUGCGCCAAUGGUACUGCAUCUUAAGGUGUGGGAGAGUAGGUCACCGCCAAAC